UAGGUCGUUGUGUGCCAUAUGGACUGGUUGUGAAGGAAAAGAAACUAUUUCUCCUCUAAUUAUCUAGGUUGCAUCUAAAAUUUUUUUAUUCAUCUACAUGAUUAAGGAUCAAAUCCUAUCUAAUUAACAGUGAAACCAGAGAUCAAAUCUCAAUUUAUCUAGAUUAAAUCUUCACGGAGGCCUGGAUAUGCAGACCCUCUACUUCGCAUCACACC
rnacentral:lncRNA from 1 species